GGUCCAUUCUCCAAAGGAAAAUAAAUAAAUGGAUAUUCAUUCAUUCUUUUGAAGUUUCAGGAGUUUUUUCUUCGCAUGUUUCUUCUCAAUAAUUUUUAAUCCAACUUCUUUUUCAACGCCUUUAUGGUGAAAGUUUAAUACCAAUAUGAGUGAACAUUUUUGGAGUAGUAUGGAAACUAUAAGCAAUUGAAAGUACCAAAAUUUAAUUUAAUAUAGCAGCAGAUCAUAUGACAAACGAAAUAAAUUUGGAAAUGGUUAAAUGGUUCCUCGAUGAUAGUACAAUCUACGUGUCAAGGCAAGG